CUAGUUUAGUCACUUUGUCCCGUGCCACUUGAUAGAAAGGUUUUAACUAGUAAUCUAUUCCAUAUGAGUUUGGUGGACUUUUAUAUAUGUUCAGCAUUUGGAUGAUGACGGGAAUGAGAAGACAGUCCACAGGAAUUUAAUCAUUCUUACAGGAACAAGGAAAGAAUCAUAUACAGAAGUAUGGGCCUGAGGAAACGAUGAAAGAGAAACCCAGAAAGAAUGGCAAGAAAGUGGGAAAGAAGUUAGCUGAGAGGAAGCAGCAGAGUAAUGAGUCGGAGGAUGAAGCUUGAUAGAUCUAGAAGUUGGGCGCAAUGAUUUGGCACAACAGACAGAACUAGUGCAGCCAGGAGAAACUUCAGAAGAACAGGUACCGGUACAGAGAAAAUAAUGAAGUUGAGUUGUGCAGAUCAUCAAGGGUUAAGAAGAAACCCAAGUGGCAUGAAUCAUAAUAAUGUAAUUAUGUUAUGAGUCAGAGAGAAGUUGGUGAUUUGGGUGAAAAGACACAAUUGCUGACAAACUUGAUCUGUUCCGAAAUUUUGAAAACUACUUCUCCUACCCUGGUUGAGAAGGUCGUAAACUCUAUUGUUAAAUGAUGGGACAUCAUUUCAUAGAUUGGGGGAUGUAGCAAAGCAGAAAUCUCAUGUACUAUUUUGAUUUUAACUUUAUUCAUAUAUAAUUAUGCAAGGUAAGUGAAUUAAUAAAAAGUUUUACAAAUAUCUUUAAUUAGAAAGUUAUUAAAAGUGUCUGUGAUGAAUUAUUUUAUAUUUUCCUUAAUCAACUAUUUUCCCGCCAAAAUCAUGGUGAGCGAUUGGUUAAUAUAUGACACAUCACUUGGAAGGUGGACAGGUUUCACUUUGUCCCGUGCUACUUGAUAGAAAGGUAGUAGCAAGUAAUCUAUUGCAAUAGGAGUUUGGUGGACUUUUAUACAUGUUCAGCAUUUGGCUUAAGGAACUGGCGGCAUGAUUUGGAAGGAAUAUCAUACAUGACCCGUGGUGGUUUAAAGGGCCUGUGAUUG